rnacentral:rRNA from 1 species
UGAGAUGAGUUUUCCCUGGCACUAUAAGUGUCCUAAAGGGUUGUCGUAGACUACGACGUUGAUAGGCAGGGUGUGUAAGUGCUGCGAGGCAUUGAGCUAACCUGUACUAAUUGCCCGUGAGGCUUAACCAUACAACACCCAAGGGGUUU